AUUAACUUUGCGGUGCUUUGUUUGACGGACCUCCCCUCCUCGUGUAGGAAAGGGCUUUCACGUCAAUUAAAAGGGAAUCGGGUGUGAAUCCCGAACAGUCCCGCUGCUGUGUUUCCCUAAGAGUUGAGUUUGCUAUUCUGAUCGUGGAAUAGGACGAAACUUCUUGUUGUGACCUGUGAGGACAUUGCUACUAAGGUGGCGAUGAGCUGACCACUGAGCUUCAUCUGAAAAAAGCUUGGGAAGGUGCAGGAUCAUUGGGAUAAGUCAGAAGACCUGCAAAGCAUUUCUGCGGCUU
rnacentral:ncRNA from 2 species